CAUGCAAGUCGAGGGGCAUCGGGACGUAGCAAUACGUUGCCGGCGACCGGCGGAUGGGUGAGUAACGCGUAUGCAACCUACCCGUAGCAGGGGGAUAGCCCGUUGAAAGACGGAUUAAUACCCCGUAACACAGGGGCUCCGCAUGGAGAUUAUUGUUAAAGGGUCAUUUCUUUUAGAGGUGGUCCGGCUGCGGAUGGGCAUGCGUUCCAUUAGGUAGUUGGUGUAGGUAACGGCUCACCAAGGCGACGAUGGGUAGCCGGCCUGAGAGGGUGUACGGCCACACUGGGACUGAGACACGGCCCAGACUCCUACGGGAGGCAGCAGUAGGGAAUAUUGCGCAAUGGACGGAAGUCUGACGCAGCGACGCCGCGUGAGCGAUGAAGGCCUUCGGGUCGUAAAGCUCUGUCCUUGGGGAAGAAGGUCUUCGGACUUGACGGUACCCAAGAAGAAAGCCCCGGCUAACUACGUGCCAGCAGCCGCGGUAAUACGUAGGGGGCGAGCGUUGUCCGGAAUUACUGGGCGUAAAGGGUGCGUAGGCGGCCCUUUAAGUCAGAUGUGAAAGGCCACGGCUUAACCGUGGGAUUGCAUUUGAAACUGGAGGGCUUGAGUGUCGGAGAGGGUAGUGGAAUUCCCAGUGUAGCGGUGAAAUGCGUAGAUAUUGGGAGGAACACCAGUGGCGAAGGCGACUACCUGGACGAUAACUGACGCUGAGGCACGAAAGCUAGGGGAGCAAACAGGAUUAGAUACCCUGGUAGUCCUAGCCGUAAACGAUGGGUACUAGGUGUAGGUGGUUUCGAUACCAUCUGUGCCGGAGUUAACGCAAUAAGUACCCCGCCUGGGGAGUACGUGCGCAAGCAUGAAACUCAAAAGAAUUGACGGGGGCCCGCACAAGCGGUGGAGCAUGUGGUUUAAUUCGAAGCAACGCGAAGAACCUUACCAGGUCUUGACAUCACCUAGCAAGCCAUGGAAACAUGGCCCUCCUUCGGGACUGGGUGACAGGUGGUGCAUGGUUGUCGUCAGCUCGUGUCGUGAGAUGUUGGGUUAAGUCCCGCAACGAGCGCAACCCUUGCCUUUAGUUGCCAGCAUUAAGUUGGGGACUCUAAAUGGACUGCCGGCGACAAGUCGGAGGAAGGUGGGGAUGACGUCAAAUCAUCAUGCCCCUUAUGAUCUGGGCUACACACGUGCUACAAUGGGUGGUACAGAGGGAAGCGAAGCUGUGAGGCGGAGCGAAUCCCAGAAAGCCACUCUCAGUUCGGAUUGCAGGCUGCAACUCGCCUGCAUGAAGUCGGAAUCGCUGUAAUCGC
rnacentral:rRNA from 1 species